rnacentral:rRNA from 1 species
CACACCGCCCGUCACACCAUGGGAGUUGGCUUUACCUGAAGACGGUGCGCUAACCGCAAGGAGGCAGCCGGCCACGGUAGGGUCAGCGACUGGAGUG